GGGCCCGCACAAGCGGUGGAGCAUGUGGUUUAAUUCGAUGAUACGCGAGGAACCUUACCAGGGUUUAAAUGCAGAACGACAGGGGUGGAAACACCCCCUUCUUCGGACGGACUGCAAGGUGCUGCAUGGUUGUCGUCAGCUCGUGCUGUGAAGUGUCGGGUUAAGUCCCAUAACGAGCGCAACCCCCAUUUCUAGUUGCCAGCGGUUCGGCCGGGGACUCUAGAGAAACUGCCCGUGAUAAGCGGGAGGAAGGUGUGGAUGACGUCAAGUCCUCAUGGCCCUUACGGGUUGGGCUACACACGUGCUACAAUGGUGGUGACAAUGGGUUAAUCCCAAAAAGCCAUCUCAGUUCGGAUUGGGGUCUGCAACUCGACCCCAUG
rnacentral:rRNA from 1 species